rnacentral:misc_RNA from 1 species
GGAAGUAAAAGUCGUAACAAAGUCUCCGUUGGUGAACCAGCGGAGGGAUCAUUAUCGAGUUUAUAACUCCCAAACCCUAUGUGAACUUACCACUUGUUGCUUCGGCGCGCGCUUCGGUGCCGCCGAGGACACUUAAACUCUUUGUUUUUAUAAGCAUUUCUGAGUGGCCGAAAGGCAAAAUACAAAUGAAUCAAAACUUUCAACAACGGAUCUCUUGGUUCUU